ACGGCUCAGUAACACGUCGAUAACUUGCCCUUAAGUCUGGGAAAACCUUGGGAAACUGAGGCUAAACCCGGAUAGGAGAUUUUUUCUGGAACGAUUUAUCUCUCAAAGGUAACGCUUAAGGAUAGGUCGGCGGCGGAUUAGGCUGUUGGUGAGGUAACGGCUCACCAAACCGAAGAUCCGUACGGGCUCUGAGAGGAGUAGCCCGGAGAGGGGCACUGAGAUACUGGCCCCAGCCCUACGGGGUGCAGCAGGCGCGAAACCUUUACAAUGCACGAAAGUGUGAUAGGGGAAUCCAGAGUGCCAUACGCAAGUAUGGCUUUUGCCAAGAGUAAAUAUCUUGGAGAAUAAGUGGUGGGUAAGACUGGUGCCGGCCGCCGCGGUAACCCCAGCGCCACGAGUGGGGAUCUCUUUUAUUUGGCCUAAAGCGUCCGUAGCCGGUUUUGUAAAUCUUUUGUGAAAUUGUUGGGCUCAACUCAACAGCGCGCAGAAGACACUGCAUUACUAGGGACCGGGAAGAGUCAAAGGUAUGCCGGGGGGAGCGGUAAAAUGCAAUAAUCCUCGGUAGACGACCUGUGGCGAAGGCGUUUGACUAGAACGGGUCCGACGGUGAGGGACGAAAGCCAGGGGAGCAAACCGGAUUAGAUACCCGAGUAGUCCUGGCUGUAAACUCUGCGAACUAGGUGUCGCGUAUUCUUAGAGAAUGCGCGGUGUCGGAGCGAAGGCGUUAAGUUCGCCGCCUGGGAAGUACGGUCGCAAGACCGAAACUUAAAGGAAUUGGCGGGGGAGCAC
rnacentral:rRNA from 1 species